CCACAUGUUAACCCCCUUCUCUGCACUCUCUCUCUCUCUCCUCUCUCUCUCUGUGCAGCAACCUCUCUCACAGUCUCCCUUCCAAACUCUCUGUUAUGAGCAUUGCUAUUUUGGUGUUAUCAUUACUGUGCGCUGAUUGAGAACCAUCAGUUUCGUUGUGGUUCGUCUCGGUUUCUCGUCUCCCUAAGGGUUUGGGCUCAGUUUGGGUGUGGUGAUUUUGCUGUCCAACUUAGGUUCCCUUAUGUCCCUCAGUUUUCUGGCUUCUCGCAGCCAUUGGGGGUGGAGCUGUUCUUGGAUAUUUGUCGUUGUUUUAUACUGACAACUGGAUAAAUAAGGUGUUUCAAGGUCAAAACAGCAACUGGACUUGAGGCAUGUGGUGUGACUUCCAAGAUAUUCUACCAGCUGACUUAUAGGUUGCUGAAUUUUUUUGGUGGAAAUGGCUUCAAUAGAUGAGCUGUCGUUUGCAGAGCAGCAAAUGACAUCAGCGAUCCUGACUGGCAUUAAUUUCAGUAUUUUAACUGAUACCGAGGCGGAAAAAAUUUCUGUUUUAGAGAUUGAAGCAAGCAGUGAGGUAACAGAUCCUAAAUUGGGAAUGCCAAACCCAACCUCUCACUGCCCCACUUGCGGUACCAAGAAUUCAAGAACUUGUGAAGGACACUUUGGGGUAAUCAGAUUCCCAUUUACAAUACUCCAUCCAUAUUUUUUAUCAGAAAUUGCACAGAUCUUGAACAAAAUAUGCCCAGGAUGUAAAUCCGUUAGGCGUGAUAAAGGCAAGAGUGCCGAUUCCAUGUCCAGGCAGCAUUGCAGAUAUUGUGAUGGAAAUCUUAGAAAUUAUCCAAGAAUGAAAUUUAAGGUUUCUACUGAAGAUAUGUUUGUAAAGACUGCAAUUAUAGUAGAAGUGAAGGAAAAUCUGUCAAAGAAGUCUCGAAAUAAAGGUUAUGGGGGAGUCAUGGCCUCUGAUUAUUGGGAUAUUAUACCGAAAGAUCCAAAUGAAGAGGAAAGUUUUGUGAAGCCUACCCGAAGAAUCCUGUCACAUGCCCAGGUCUACCAUAUGUUGAAAGAUGUUGAUCCUGGGUUCCUUAAAGAGUCCUUUCUAAGAAAUAAUCCACUCGUUCUCAACUGUUUCCUUGUAACUCCAAACUGUCAUCGCGUGACAGAACUUGGGGGACAUGUGGUCUUCGAUGAACGCACAAGGGCUUUCAAAAAGCUGGUUGGCUUUAGAGGGACACCCAAUGAGUUGAGUUCCCUGGUUCUGGACUGCCUAAAAAAAUCCAGGAUGCACACUGAAAAAUCUUCACCUCAAGAUUCUGCUUCCAGUAUGUCUGGCUUGAAGCAUGUAAAAGAACUACUUCUUGGGAAAAGAAAUGAUCAUUGUUUCCGCAUGGUUGUAGUUGGUAAUCCAAGUUUAAAACUUGGUGAGAUUGGAAUACCAUGUCAUGUUGCAGAGAGGUUACAAAUUUCGGAGCAGUUGAAUUAUUGGAACCAUGAGAAACUGAGCACUUGCUGUAAUCUGCGGAUUCUUGAGAAGGGAGAGAUUUAUGUUCGCAGAAAAGAUCGGCUUGUACCUGUAACUUUUGAUGACUACUUGCAGAUUGGGGAUGCUGUAUGUAGGCCACUAAGUGAUGGAGAUAUUGUGCUGAUAAAUAGGCCUCCAUCUAUUCAUCAACAUUCUCUUAUUGCUCUAUCUGUGAAGGUUCUUCCAGUAAGUUCAGUUCUUUCAAUAAACCCACUCAUCUGUUCUCCUUUCCGUGGUGAUUUUGAUGGUGAUUGCCUUCAUGGUUAUGUUCCUCAAUCAAUUGAGUCGAGAGUUGAGCUGCAAGAGCUUGUGGCUUUGGACAGGCAGCUAAUUAAUGCACAGAGCGGUAGAAACCUCCUUUCCCUAAGUCAUGAUAGUUUAACUGCUGCUCAUUUGGUUCUUGAAGAUGGGGUGCUUCUGGACCUUCUCCAAAUGCAGCAAUUUCAAAUGUUUUGUCCUUAUCAGUUCCAAUUGCCAGCCAUUGCAAAAGCGCCUUCCAUACAUAGCCAUCAAAAAGCAUCUUUGCCAAAUGCUUGUUUCUGGACUGGGAAGCAAUUAUUCAGCCUUCUCCUGCCUCCAGAUUUAGAUUAUACUUCUCCAUCAAAUGGCGUUCAUAUUUGUAAAGGUGAAUUUGUAUCUUCCACUGGUGGAUCUUCUUGGCUGCGUGACGCUAAUGGAAACCUUUUUCAUUAUCUUGUGAAACACUGCAAACAUAAGGUUCUUGACUUCUUGCAUGCUGCUCAGGAAGUUCUUUGUGAGUGGUUGUCAAUGAGGGGCUUGAGCGUUUCUUUGUCUGACCUUUACCUAUGUUCUGAUUCAUACUCCCGGGAAAAUAUGAUACAUGAAGUCUCUUAUGGUUUGCGAGAAGCAGAAGAGAUCUCUCAUGCCAAAUUGUUGAUGGUGGAUUCUAAUAAGGAUUUCCUUAUUGGCACUGAAGGAAGUCUAAAAGGUAUGGAUUUUGGAGCAGAGCGCAUGUGUUAUGAGAAGCAGAAGUCAGCUGCACUUAGUCAGGUUUCUGUUUCUGCUUUUAAGAAAGUUUUCUGGGAUAUUCAAAAUCUAGUAUACCAAUAUGCCCGCAAGGACAAUUCUUUGCUGGCCAUGUUAAAGGCUGGAAGCAAAGGCAACUUGUUGAAACUAGUCCAGCACAGCAUGUGCUUGGGUCUGCAGCAUUCGUUGGUUCCACUAUCUUUCAGAAUUCCCCAUCAGAUUUCUUGUGCUGCAUGGAACAAUCAUAGGGCCCCUGCCUCAACUCAUUUGACUCAAGAUAUCCCCAAAUUUGCUGGGCGUUUCAUUCCAUAUGCUGUGGUUGAGAAUUCCUUCCUCACAGGCUUGAAUCCUCUAGAAUGCUUUGUUCAUUCCUUAACAACUCGAGAUAGUUCCUUCAGUGACAAUGCUGAUCUUCCUGGGACCUUGAACCGGAGGCUCAUGUUUUCCAUGCGUGACUUAUAUACUGGAUAUGAUGGAACAGUGAGAAAUGCUUAUGGGAAUCAACUUGUUCAGUUCUGUUAUGAUAUUGAGGAAACUGCUUCCCCAAGUAAUGUUACUGAUGUUUCAUCCAAUGACAGCACUUAUGGUGCCACGGGCGGCCAACCUGUUGGUUCGUUGGCUGCUUGUGCCAUCUCUGAAGCUGCAUAUAGUGCUUUAGACCAGCCGAUUAGUGUACUAGAAACAUCACCUCUGUUAAAUCUAAAGAAAGUCUUGGAGUGUGGCGUAAAAAAAUGUAGUGGUGAUAAAACUGCAUCACUAUUCUUGUCCAAGAAGCUUGGGAGAUGGGCACAUGGUUUUGAGUAUGCCGCUUUAGAGGUUCAGAGUCAUCUAGAGAGACUUCUCUUUUCAGAAAUUGUCUCUGUUGUCGAGAUAUUCUUCUCCACGCAGACCUUUAACCAUAAGCAUACCAGUCCAUGGGUUUGUCAUUUUGAAAUUUCUAAGGAGAUAGUUCAGAGGAGAAGGCUAACAGUGCAUUCUAUUAUCAAUGCCCUCCACAUGAACAGUAACUUCACCAAUGCCAGAUCAAAGUGCAAUCUGCCAAAGUUGCAAAUAACAAGCAAGGACUUUUCUGGUGUUGACAUGCAGAAAGAAAAUAGUGCUAAGAUUUUUAUCACAGUCAUCAUGGUUGAAGGACCUAGAAAUUCAUCUGUGCAACUGGCUACCCUUCAAGACUUUGUGAUACCAUUUCUUCUUGGGACUGUUGUAAAAGGAUUCCCGGACUUUAAAAAGGUCGACAUAUUAUGGAAAGACCAGCCAACUAUGUCAAGAUCUCAGAGUUGUUCUUCUGGUGAACUUUACUUGAGAGUCUUUAUGUCAGAGAACCGUAAAAGAACAAAUUUCUGGACUUCUGUUGUGGACAAUUGUCUCCCAAUAAUGGAUAUGAUAGACUGGGAACGCAGUCAUCCGGAUGAUAUUCAUGAUCUGACUUCAGGUUAUGGAAUAGAUGUUGCAUGGAAAUACUUUGUGACUAGUUUGAAGUCAGCAAUAUUGGAUACUGGGAAGACUAUACUUCUGGAGCACUUGCUUCUUGCUGCAGAUUGUCUUUCAGUUACUGGAGAGUUUCUUAGCUUAAAUGCCAAAGGGCUGGCAGAGCAGAGAAAACGCACAUCUGUAUCAUCACCCUUCAUGCAAGCAUGCUUCUCUAAUCCAGCUUCUUCCCUCAUUAAAGCUGCCAAAAAUGGAGGUCUGGAUGAUCUUCAGGGGAGUCUUGAUGCAUUGUCAUGGGGAAAGAUUCCUUCUGUUGGGACAGGUGGACAUUUCGAUCUUUUAUAUUCUGGGAAGGGACAUGAACUUGCUAAACCAGAAAAUAUCUAUAAACUAUUGGGUAGCCACAGCUGUACUACUGAGAGGAAUUUGAAGGCCAAGGUACCUGGAGAGAAUAACCACAUGCUUGACAAAUUUUACCUGCAGCCUUUAUGCACUUAUGGUGAUUUUAACACAAAAGGGCUUAAAAGUUUGAAAAAAUCUCAAACGAUGUUGAGAUGUUUUCUCUCAGCAUUUCAAAAGCAGUCUCAAGAAUUGAAGCGUAUCCUUCACAAGUACCCCAUCAAUCAUUGUCUAGAUGAUGUGGACAAGAAAAUAGUGAUGGGGGCUUUAAACUUCCAUCCUCGAAAGAAUGAGAAGAUUGGAACUGGGGCUCAAGAAAUCAAGGUUGGUCUUCACUCUGAGCACGAAAAUACUCGUUGCUUUUUCUUGGUAAGAAUGGAUGGAACAGUUGAAGACUUCUCAUACCAUAAGUGCAUACAUGGAGCUUUGGAGAUAAUUGCUCCUGAAAGAGCAAAAAACUACAAGUCAAGGUGGUUAAAUGAACAUCCUCCCAGCAGGUUACCUAAUUUUUGUACUAGUGAGACCUUGCCAGAGCUGUAGAUGACCAAGUGUUUUUUGUUCAGUGGGAAGGUCUACCAAGCUUGGAAAUACAAUUUUUUCUUAUAUAUAUAUUUCUAUAGUGACCUCAGCAUCGACCUUUGGUUGUUUUGGUUUUUUUAUAUUUUGCUAGGGUAGUCCAAUUCUUAUGCUUCUUUUUGCUGCCUCCACUAAGUUUUGUUUCCCUUAAAAGGCAAGUGCAGUAGGCAAAUAAGAUUUAGUGGAAGUAGCAAAGAGAAGCUUAAAAAAACAGGGCAUUGCCCUUUUCAUGUUGUGAGUUGUAACUUUCUACUUCUGGCAAUGUGAAGAACAAUGUUUUUCAGGUCAUGUCUGGCGGCUGGAACAUUGGCUUCAUCAUAUUAGAUAACAACCCAUGUGUAUCUACAUUCUUGUAUCUCUCUAUAUAUACCGUAAUUAAUCGAAACUCUUUCCAUUAUGGAUAAAAAUCAUCUUCAUCAUCAUGCCACGACUGCUGAGAAAAAAACAAAACAAAAAAACAAGUGUAAAUGAGCACAUGCAUGGGUCCGAAGCAUCUUCAUGGAGAAUAUGGAGACCCAUCAUCAUCAUUAGAACAUCAUCAUCGUGGUCGUCAACCAAUUCCACUCUGGUCGUUGUCUAGUCUAGUCACAGAUAAUGAAUCUAGUAAGUGGAGUUUCUAUUAGUAGAGAAAAUGUGAUACAUUAGCUUUUGAUAUAAACUUCUCAAGAGUUUGUGAUGUAUGAAGAUAACCACUCAAGACUUGCAAAAAAUAGUAACUUUCUCUAGUCAUUUAAACUUACUUUUAAAUGAAGAUCGUAUGUAAUGAUCCCAAAAUUAGAAAUAAGGCACUUUUUUAGAGGUUAUCU